rnacentral:rRNA from 1 species
CCUACGGGUGGCAGCAGUAGGGAAUCUUCCACAAUGGGCGAAAGCCUGAUGCAGCAACGCCGCGUGGGUGAAGAAGGUCUUCGGAUCGUAAAACCCUGUUUUUAGAGAAGCAAGUGCGUGCGAGUAACUGUUCACGUUUCGUCGGUAUCUAACCAGAAAGCCCCAGCUAAAUACGUGCCGGCAGCCGCGGUAAUACGUAGGUGGCCAGAGUUAUCCGGAUUUAUUGGGCGUAAAGGGAACGCAGGCGGGCUGUUAAGUCUGAUGUGAAAGCCUUCGGCUUAACCGGAGUAGUGCAUUGGAAACUGGGAGACUUGAGUGCAGAAGAGGAGAGUGGAACUCCAGGUGUAGCGGUGAAAUGCGUAGAUAUAUGGAAGAACACCAGUGGCGAAAGCGGCUCUCUGGUCUGUAACUGACGCUGAGGUUCGAAAGCGUGGGUAGCAAACAGGAUUAGAUACCCCGGUAGUC